UGCUCCUCCACACAACAGACUAAUAACCUGCUAAAGCAAAAGCUUCACUCAGUGGCUCUGAGUAUGGAAGGAGAACGUGAGAGGCUGAACCAACGUAUUACAGCACUGACGGAGAAGCUUGCUGAUGCAAAAUUUGCCAACAGUGUGGAGACAUUCAAUAUAACGUCACUGCUUCACAAAACAGAUCUCCAGUUUCAGUCAACUGAUGGCAUUAAUCAGAUGGUUCUCCCCAUCGCUCCCCCUCCGG